AUCUGCAAAACAAAUCGCAAAUAUAAUCGCCGAAGCACCAUACCAAAACAAAUUGAUAGUGGAGAAAAAGGAAGAAGACGGAGAGGCCAGUACAAAGAGCCGGAGUUGUGAGAUUGAUGUUGUCGACGAAGUCGUCGCUUUCGUCGUCGCUCAAGUGAUCAUGUGCUCCACAAUGCUCCUAGGAGGCUCCUAAGCCCAAUGCAAUGGAUAGAUGAAGACGAGAAAUCAUGGCAAUGGUCCACAAAGUUCCUAAUAAUCAUAUAUGUCUCCUAAGUAUCUCAAUUUUCCAAUUUAAUCAAGAUAACCCAAAGGGCUUGAAGAUUGUUUCCCAAGGAAACCCUAAUUUCACUAUGCUUUGACUAUACCUUGCCCAUGAAGCAAUCUCAACCUAUGAUCAAAUUUAAUCAAGGGAAGUUCUUUCAUUUAUACUUUUAUGCAUAUAUGAGCCUAUUUGAGGCCCCUAAAUCAUUUAUUCAUCAAGAUUGGAAGUUUGGCCUUGAAAAGUUGACCAGUCAAGUCAUCUGACUAAGCUGAGAAUCAAUGAGAUAUAACUUUUGAUGUGUUUGUCAAAUGAAGAUUACCCCAAGAGUAUAAAUGCUCAUAAGAACCAUAUGAACAACUUUCAUGUUCACCAAAAAUCCAU